rnacentral:sRNA from 1 species
UUAAAAUAGAGAUGCAUUAUAAUGGUUAUAAUUAUUUUAGUUUUCCAAUCCUAAAUUGUUCAACAUUGGUUCUCCUGUAUGUUUUUCUUUAGACGCCCUCCUGCAAAACGGCCCAACUACGUUAAGCUUGGCACUCUGGCACCUUUCUGCUGUCCCUGGGAGCAGUUAACUCAAGACUGGGAGUCAAGAGGCCAGGCCCACGAAGAACCUUCUGUAGCUUCAUCUCCAAAUGGUAAGGAGAGUGACCUAAGAAGAUCUGAGGUGCCUUGUCCUCCCAUGCCUAAAAAAACUCCUCAGCCAUCUGAUGAAGUGGGCACAUCCAUAGAGCACCCCAGGGAGGCAGAGGAGGUAAUGGAUGCAGGGUGUCAAGAAUCGGCAGGGCCUGAGAGGAUCACAGACCAGGAGGCCAGUGAAAACCAUGUUGCUGCCACAGGGAGUCACCUCUGCGUUCUCAGGAGUAGAAAAUUACUGAAGCAACUGUCAGCCUGGUGUGGGCCCAGUUCUGA